rnacentral:rRNA from 1 species
UACAGAGGUCCCAAGCGUUGUUCGGAUUUACUGGGCGUAAAGGGUGCGUAGGCGGGUAAGUAAGUCAGUGGUGAAAUCUCCGGGCUUAACUCGGAAACUGCCGUUGAUACUAUUUAUCUUGAAUAUCAUGGAGGUAAGCGGAAUAUGUCAUGUAGCGGUGAAAUGCUUAGAUAUGACAUAGAACACCGAUAGCGAAGGCAGCUUACUACAUGUUAAUUGACGCUGAGGCACGAAAGCGUGGGGAGCAAACAGG